rnacentral:pre_miRNA from 1 species
UCCUAGCUUCACAAUAAAGUUACCUUAAAUGGAAGCAUACAUUUUUUUGCUGAAAGAAUAAGUGCUUCUCUUUGGGGUAGCCAUAACUGU